rnacentral:rRNA from 1 species
AUUCCAGCUCCAAUAGCGUAUAUUAAAGUUGUUGCAGUUAAAAAGCUCGUAGUUGGACUUCUGAUUCGAAAGAUCGGUCCGCCGCAAGGCGAGCACUGAUUCUUCGAGUCUUCCUCUCGUAGUUGUUUGGCGCACUUGAUUGGGUGCCAGAUGAAUAUGGGACCUUUACUUUGAAAAAAUUAGAGUGUUCAAAGCAGGCAAUCGCUUGAAUACAUUAGCAUGGAAUAAUAGAAUAGGACUUUGGUUCUAUUUUGUUGGUUUCUAGGACCGAGGUAAUGAUUAAUAGGGACAGUUGGGGGCAUUAGUAUUUAAUUGUCAGAGGUGAAAUUCUUGGAUUUAUGAAAGACUAACUACUGCGAAAGCAUUUGCCAAGGAUGUUUUCAUUG